rnacentral:rRNA from 1 species
GACGAACGCUGGCGGCGUGCCUAAUACAUGCAAGUUGAGCGCUGAAGGUUGGUACUUGUACCAACUGGAUGAGCAGCGAACGGGUGAGUAACGCGUGGGGAAUCUGCCUUUGAGCGGGGGACAACAUUUGGAAACGAAUGCUAAUACCGCAUAAAAACUUUAAACACAAGUUUUAAGUUUGAAAGAUGCAAUUGCAUCACUCAAAGAUGAUCCCGCGUUGUAUUAGCUAGUUGGUGAGGUAAAGGCUCACCAAGGCGAUGAUACAUAGCCGACCUGAGAGGGUGAUCGGCCAAAUUGGGACUGAGAAACGGCCCAAAAUGCUACGGGAGGCAGCAGUAGGGAAUCUUCGGCAAUGGACGAAAGUCUGACCGAGCAACGCCGCGUGAGUGAAGAAGGUUUUCGGAUCGUAAAACUCUGUUGGUAGAGAAGAACGAUGGUGAGAGUGGAAAGCUCAUCAAGUGACGGUAACUACACAGAAAGGGACGGCUAACUACGUG